rnacentral:lncRNA from 1 species
CUCUGCAUCAAGGUCAGCAUGAUAGCACUGUCUCUCUAUGCUUAGGGAGAGGCCUGUCCCGUACAUCCCGUGCCCCCGCAAGACGCCUACUACAACACUGGAUAAAUUUCUAUUCAGAUGCAACUCAGGAUUACAGUUCAAGGCAGAUGGAGUAAGAGACUCACACCCAGAAAAAGAGGUGGUGAAAGUGACUGUUCAGACCUCCCGUUGCUGAGUUUCAGAAGAACGGAAUGUAGAAAACAAAGGAUAAAAUUUAAAAGGACCAGUGUGGUUCUUUAUGACAGAAGAAAAACAAUGUGGAAUACAACCAUUUCAUCUAGAAGAUCAGGUCCAAGAGAGGGGCUGAGAGAACCUCUACACCUAGACAUGAGGCGAGUGAUCUUGUGUGGAAAAGCUAGGUCAGAGCUGAAGAGAGGGCAUUCAUUGGCACAGUCCCUUGCAGGAUUUUAUACUUACUUAAAACAAGAAUUCAGAAUUCCUUGCUGCACAGUUUUUGCCUUCAAAGCAGGCAAGAAAUAUUUAUUCCUCUCUUUACUUUGCUUUUCUGUGCGUAUUGCAGGAAUUAGAGUUUAUAGAUUCUCAAACUGUCUGUAAAUGGUGGAGAUUCUUCCUUGUAUGGUUUGGCAGAGGUUCUGAGAAGAAAAAGCAGCAGCAGAAAGGCACUUGAUACACAUUUGUUGGCGUAACAGUAAAUAUGAACAAAACUAUUCUAGGAAACAUCUUCUCUGAGAGGGGAAACAACAUCAAGACUGUCCACUUCAAUGAUAAUUUUAUACUUAGUGAUAAGCCUACAGAUUUGUUUUCUGCCUUGCUAAGGAAUUUCUAAGGGCUUGACCCUUUCAGCUGUCCUGUGAAAUUUGCUCCACCAGUCAUCUUCCGCCGAGCAGUUCCUGAAUCCCAUGUGUUCAUGGGCCAGAAAUCCUGGCCUCUUACAGGUUUCAGCUUUGCCUGGAAAUGCUUACAAACCCACUGCUGAGGAUUCUGAACAUUGCUUUUUAGCUUUGACUAUUCCUAUUUCCUUUCUCUUUAGACCCCAGCACUAAAGCUGGCUAUCUAAGGUUUUCUAUUCCAUACAAUGCUAUAAUUCUGCUCAAUUGCAGCUACUGAG